GAUGAACGCUGGCGGCGUGCCUAAUACAUGCAAGUCGAGCGAACAGAUGAGGAGCUUGCUCCUCUGACGUUAGCGGCGGACGGGUGAGUAACACGUGGAUAACCUACCUAUAAGACUGGGAUAACUUCGGGAAACCGGAGCUAAUACCGGAUAAUAUAUUGAACCGCAUGGUUCAAUAGUGAAAGACGGUUUUGCUGUCACUUAUAGAUGGAUCCGCGCCGCAUUAGCUAGUUGGUAAGGUAACGGCUUACCAAGGCAACGAUGUGUAGCCGACCUGAGAGGGUGAUCGGCCACACUGGAACUGAGACACGGUCCAGACUCCUACGGGAGGCAGCAGUAGGGAAUCUUCCGCAAUAGGCGAAAGCCUGACGGAGCAACGCCGCGUGAGUGAUGAAGGUCUUCGGAUCGUAAAACUCUGUUAUUAGGGAAGAACAAAUGUGUAAGUAACUAUGCACGUCUUGACGGUACCUAAUCAGAAAGCCACGGCUAACUACGUG
rnacentral:rRNA from 1 species